rnacentral:rRNA from 1 species
UACGUAGGGUCCAAGCGUUAUCCGGAAUCACUGGGCGUAAAGGGCGCGUAGGCGGCUCAUGAAGGCUGUGGUGAAAGUCCGGGGCUCAACCUCGGAUCGGCCGUGGCGACUCGUGGGCUGGAGCACUGUAGAGGCGGGUGGAAUUCCGGGUGUAGCGGUGGAAUGCGUAGAGAUCCGGAAGAACACCAGUGGCGAAGGCGGCCCGCUGGGCAGUGGCUGACGCUGAGGAGCGAAAGCGUGGGGAGCAAACAGG